AAAGCGAGGAGGAUGGCAUUGGCGUUUCUCUACAAGUAGUUCUCUGUGACAGGUGGAGAGAAGCACAGCAUAAGACCAACAGACGUCCUAAUAAUGUGUAGUCUGCUGACACUGCAUGCCUGUAAACAGCAGAGAUGAAGGAGCUAUGGAUUAUGGCUGUCUUUGCUACAGUCUCUUUUCCACAGGGGGAUCUCACCACAUCCUCUGCCAUUCCAACCACCAUUGACAUAACUACCCCAACUACUGAUGACCCUUUAACCCCUGAACCUCCAACUACUGGUUACCUAAAUACUACUGGUUACCCUACCUCUAUCACCAGUAUCAGUCUCCCCUAUCCCACCACAACCCCUCUGGACUGUAUCAACGGUGGUGAGCUGCAGAGUGGAGUCUGUAUCUGUCCUGAUGAGUGGACCGGAGAGACCUGUUCAGAGGGUACAUCCACACACUUACACUAUACCUAACCCUGGAUCUACCAUUCAGACUCCUCCACAAUACUACACUACUAUACCUAACCCUGGAUCUACCAUUCAGACUCCUCCACAAUACUACACUACUAUACCUAACCCUGGAUCUACCAUUCAGACUCCACUCCAUAAUACUACACUACUAUACCUAACCCUGGAUCUACCAUUCAGACUCCACUCCAUAAUACUACACUACUAUACCUAACCCUGGAUUUACCAUUCAGACUCCUCCACAAUACUACACUACUAUAGCUAAUCUUGGAUCUACCAUUCAGACUCCACUCCAUAAUACUACACUACUAUACCUAACCCUGGAUCUACCAUUCAGACUCCACUCCAUAAUACUACACUACUAUACCUAACCCUGGAUCUACCAUUCAGACUUCUCCACAAUACUACACUACUAUACCUAACCCUGGAUCUACCAUUCAGACUCCUCCACAAUACUACACUACUAUACCUAACCCUGGAUCUACCAUUCAGACUCCACUCCAUAAUACUACACUACUAUACCUAACCCUGGAUCUACCAUUCAGACUCCACUCCAUAAUACUACACUACUAUACCUAACCCUGGAUCUACCAUUCAGACUCCUCCACAAUACUACACUACUAUACCUAACCCUGGAUCUACCAUUCAGACUCCUCCACAAUACUACACUACUAUACCUAACCCUGGAUCUACCAUUCCGACUUCACUCCAUAAUACUACACUACUAUACCUAAUAGAGGUCUACCAAUUUAUCGGAAUGGCCGAUUAAUUCGGGACGAUUUCAAGUUUUCAUAACAAUCGGUAAUCAGCAUUUUUGGACACCGAUUAUGG